rnacentral:rRNA from 1 species
CCUACGGGAGGCAGCAGUGAGGAAUAUUGGUCAAUGGACGAGAGUCUGAACCAGCCAAGUAGCGUGAAGGAUGACUGCCCUAUGGGUUGUAAACUUCUUUUGUCUGGGAAUAAAAUGUUCCACGUGUGGGAUUUUGUAUGUACCAUAUGAAUAAGGAUCGGCUAACUCCGUGCCAGCAGCCGCGGUAAUACGGAGGAUCCGAGCGUUAUCCGGAUUUAUUGGGUGUAAAGGGAGCAUAGGUGGAUUGUUAAGUCAGUUGUGAAAGUUUGCGGCUCAACCGUAAAACUGCAGUUGAAACUGGCAGGCUGGAGUACAGUAGAGGUGGGCGGAAUUCGUGGUGUAGCGGUGAAAUGCGUAGAUAUUACGAAGAACUCCGAUGGCGAAGGCAGCCUACUGGACUGUAACUGACACUGAGGCUCGAAAGUGUGGGUAUCAAACAGGAUUAGAUACCCCGGUAGUC